rnacentral:rRNA from 1 species
GAACACUGCGGUCUUACCUGCAGUCGAACGGAAAGGCCCUUCGGGGUACUCGAGUGGCGAACGGGAGAGUAACACGUGGGUGAUCUGCCCUGCACUCUGGGAUAAGCCUGGGAAACUGGGUCUAAUACCGGAUAGGACCACACACUUCAUGGUGAGUGGUGCAAAGCUUUUGCGGUGUGGGAUGAGCCCGCGGCCUAUCAGCUUGUUGGUGGGGUAAUGGCCCACCAAGGCGACGACGGGUAGCCGGCCUGAGAGGGUGACCGGCCACACUGGGACUGAGAUACGGCCCAGACUCCUACGGGAGGCAGCAGUGGGGAAUAUUGCACAAUGGGCGCAAGCCUGAUGCAGCGACGCCGCGUGAGGGAUGACGGCCUUCGGGUUGUAAACCUCUUUCAGUAGGGACUUUUUUUAAAGUGACGGUACCUACAGAAGAAGGACCGGCCAACUACGUGCCAGCAGCCGCGGUAAUACGUAGGGUCCGAGCGUUGUCCGGAAUUACUGGGCGUAAAGAGCUCGUAGGUGGUUUGUCGCGUUGUUCGUGAAAACUCACAGCUUAACUGUGGGCGUGCGGGCGAUACGGGCAGACUAGAGUACUGCAGGGGAGACUGGAAUUCCUGGUGUAGCGGUGGAAUGCUCAUAUAUCAGGAGGAACACCGGGUGGCGAAGGCGGGUCUCUGGGCAGUAACUGACGCU